rnacentral:rRNA from 1 species
UACAGAGGGUGCAAACGUUGUUCGGAAUUACUGGGCGUAAAGCGCGUGUAGGCUGUCGCGAAAGUCGGGUGUGAAAUCCCUGGGCUCAACUCAGGAAGUGCACUCGAAACUACGUGACUAGAGUCUCGGAGAGGGAAGCGGAAUUCUGGGUGUAGAGGUGAAAUUCGUAGAUAUCCAGAGGAACACCAGUGGCGAAGGCGGCUUCCUGGACGAUCACUGACGCUGAGACGCGAAAGCGUGGGGAGCAAACAGG